rnacentral:lncRNA from 1 species
CUUAAUACUUUUGACUAUGAAUACAUGGAAGAAAUCUCGUUUCGAAUUCCUUAUGUAAAUGUGUUGAAAGAUGGGACUGAUCAUUAAUCAAUUAUUGGGCUUCAUAUAUUUGGAUUAGGUCAUUAAUGGGUUAGUGGUCUUUUUGUUUUUAGCUCAUUAGUACAAUUUCUACUUUAUGAUAAGCCAUUUAUAAUUGAGUAAUUCUUUUAUCAUCAUGAUGUUGGAAUAUCGAUGAUACAACAACUCAUUAUCCGUCACAAACCAUGUCUCUUCUCCCUCUCUCAUAAAAAUUGAACUACACAAUCUCAUUAUUCCACAUAGAUUAUCGCAUCACUGAUAUUCUAUUAUCAUAAUUGAUAAAUAGAAUUAUUAUAUAUAUAUAUUCAAAAAAAAAAAAUGACGAUUAAACCACCCCACCUGCUCUCCUUGCCAUAGGUAAAUGGCUCCAAUUAAGAGGAGCACAGCUUUCAACAGGACUCAGGACUCACACACUGGACAUGAGUAUGGGAAUAUAUAAAUCAUACUAGUCAUUGAAGGCCUCAACUACAGGAUAUGGACGUGGCGAAUUCCAAUUUUCUGUAAGUUGUGACAAGAAAUAUGGAGUUCAAGCCUUCAAGUGGCAUAGUACAUGAAGAAAAUACGACUAAAGUUUCCUAUCAACUACAAACUAAUCCAACAUUACUUCACAGGUUUGCCCGCAUAUACAUAAAGAACACUCUAAUCCUCUUUCCUCACUGCUAUCAAUUUCUUUAUAGAAGGCAGGAAAAUGAACUAUAAGAAAAACAAAUUUUUGGAAAAUUGGCAGAAACUAACAGUCAUUUCUUCAAGUGUCCACACAGUUAAUGAAACACAAGAAUACACCAAUACAAAACAGCAUAUGACACAGCUAGAAAAACCCACAACUAGCAUCUAGAAAAAUAAAAACCAUUUGUAACAAAAUAAAGGCCAAGAAGCCAAGGAAGAGGAAAAAACUGAAAAAUUUAUAAACAAACCAUUCACUGCACCGCAUGUGCCAAAAUAUUUUAGAUUCUUUAAUACUCUUCCCUCCCAUCUAUUAGCGAGUACCAAAUGUGCCAUUAAAUGCCAAAAGAAGAACAGCACCAGAAGCAGCCCCCACAUAGUUAAACAACACGGAUAUCAUAUUCUAUAGGAUUUGAUCAAAUCGUUCUAAAUUUUGAGGAAAUUAGAAAGAUAGUUUUUUUUUUUUCCCAACUGUAUUCUUCAGUCAAUGAAAUUGAAACCCACAUGAUUGAUUACCAUCACAGGCGAAAAUGAAACUAGAGCAGUAAAAUAAUUACCCGAAUAUUCAUUCCAAAGGCCAAUUGAAGUUUAAAAUUAAAAAACGAAAUAAUUUGCACAAGCAUUAACAAACAAAUUAGGAAUACAAGUACCUGCAGUGAACAAGGAAGUGUUCGAUUCGAAUGGCGUUUCAACAGACUCCGAAGCGGAAGAAAAUCUCGUUUCUGGAUCUUCAAGCCGAGUGUCUCGCAAAAUUUGCUUAACAAUGUAUUUCUGCUAAAUCUUUCUGCCUCAAUUGAAGAGGUGGGAAUUAGGUUUGAGGGGAAAUGACAAUUUUGGGGGAAAACAUAUUGGAGGCAAAGAGAGUGGAAUAACGUAGGUGUAGAAGGGUUUUUCACUAUCGAAUUAGUUAACCCAAAAAUAAAUAAAUAAAUAAAUAAAGCAUUUUCUCUUUUUCUUGCUAAAUUCAAA